rnacentral:rRNA from 1 species
AACGAACGCUGGCGGCGUGGAUAAGACAUGCAAGUCGAACGGGAGUUUGUUUAUAGCAAUAUGAGUGAACUCUAGUGGCGAAAGGGUGCGUAACACGUAGCUACCUACCUCGAAGUUGGGGAUAGCUCGGCGAAAGCCGGAUUAAUACCGAAUGUGACCGUAAGGUCAAAGCUGGGGAUCGUAAGACCUGGCGCUUUGAGAUGGGGCUGCGGCCUAUCAGGUAGUUGGCGGGGUAAGGCCCACCAAGCCUAAGACGGGUAGCUGGUCUGAGAGGACGACCAGCCACACUGGAACUGAGACACGGUCCAGACACCUACGGGUGGCAGCAGUCGAGGAUUUUUCUCAAUGGGGGAAACCCUGAAGGAGCGACGCCGCGUGAGGGAUGAAGGUCUUCGGAUUGUAAACCUCUGUCAUCUGGGAACAAAGUGCUCAACCUAACACGU